rnacentral:lncRNA from 1 species
CUGUGCCUCCUGAUUGCUGAGUGUUCACCUGGACCUUCUGACCACCUUCCUUCUGCUAGACCAUCAGCCUGUAGAACUGGUACCUGGAUUUUUGCUCAUGGUGAUUUCUGCCACGUUACUACUGAAGAAGGCAUCAUUCCAGUGGACACUGUGACCCAAGAGGCAUUUAUCCAUCAUGAUGUGGCCUUUACCUCUAAUCCUUUCCUGUUGUACCCCGAGUCAGCACAGCCCUUUA